ACUGUCGAAUGAUGAUCAUGGUCAUCUGAUAUUCUUCUAGGAGGAGACAAUAACAGUAUAUCGAUUUGCAUGUCAGUCUGAGACAGU
rnacentral:snoRNA from 1 species